rnacentral:rRNA from 1 species
UACGGAGGGUGCAAGCGUUGUCCGGAUUUAUUGGGCGUAAAGGGCGCGUAGGCGGCCUGGCAAGUGGAUGGUGAAAUCCCUCGGCUUAACCGAGGAACUGCCAUCCAGACUGCUUGGCUUGAGACCGGGAGAGGUGAGUGGAAUUCCCAGUGUAGCGGUGAAAUGCGUAGAUAUUCGCAAGAACACCAGUGGCGAAGGCGGCUCACUGGCCCGGUACUGACGCUGAGGUGCGAAAGCGUGGGGAUCAAACAGG